rnacentral:rRNA from 1 species
CCAAUAGCGUAUAUUAAAGUUGUUGCAGUUAAAAAGCUCGUAGUUGAAUUUCGGGGUCAGUAGGAUGGUCGUGCCAAUGGUAUGUACUGGCUUUACUGAUUCCUCCUUCUUGAAGAACUGUAAUGCCAUUAAUUUGGUGUUGCAGGGAAUCAGGACUGUUACUUUGAAAAAAUUAGAGUGUUUAAAGCAGGCUUACGCUUGAAUACAUUAGCAUGGAAUAAUGAAAUAGGACGUUGAUCUUAUUUUGUUGGUUUCUAGGAUUGACGUAAUGAUUAAUAGGGAUAGUUGGGGGCAUUAGUAUUCAAUUGUCAGAGGUGAAAUUCUUGGAUUUAUUGAAGACUAACUACUGCGAAAGCAUUUGCCAAGGAUGUUUUCAUUAAUCAAGAACGAAAGUUAGGGGAUCGAAGACGAUCAGAUACCGUCGUAGUCUUAACCAUAAACUAUGCCGACUAGGGAUCGGAUGAUGUUAAUUUUUUAAUGACUCAUUCGGCGCCUUACG